AGAUAUGAGGGUCAUCUGGCUGUGACAUCUGUCACCCCAUUGAUCACCAGGGUUGAUUCAGCUGAUCUGGCUAGCUAGGCGGGUGUCCCCUUCCUCCUUCACUGCUGCAUGAAUGUCCUUAUGUGCUCAGUCAAUGAGGAGGACCUUCCCCUAAUAGAGGAGGGUUGAUCUUGGUCAAGGGUAUAUUAGGAGCUACACUCUCUUGCUAGAACCUCCAAAGUACUUUGAAACUGUUAUUAGUUGCAGAACCAACUUCAUAAUAAGAUACUGAUAAACCCUGAAAUAUUAAUGAUAUUCCUCUGG
rnacentral:snRNA from 1 species